rnacentral:lncRNA from 1 species
AAUACAUAAUAUUUAUAUUUCCAAAAUAUGUAAAAUUGUUUUGCUUCCAAAACACUAACCCUGCAACUUGAGUUAGAAAAAUUCAUCCAGUCAUUCAGCUACUUUAAUGUGAUAAUGGGUGACAUAAAACACUAUUUUCUUUUAUCUUUCCCUUCUAUUAAUAAUAAUAGUAAGAAGUAAGAAAAACCUGCAAGAAGAACUAAAAACCAAGCUAUGUCAAACCACAACAGCAAGCAUCUCCUUCCUUCUACUUCCAUUCAACUAGCACUAUAUCCACUUACAAGAAUACAACUCAUCCCCUUUUGUUGUUAUUAUGACUGUGUUCUGCACACUUCAAGACUUCUGGAUAUUUUCUCAAAAACUUUUCUUUGAAGCACUGCAGCCCCUGUAGCAACUUCUUAAAAAAUUCCUUCUAGCUGGAUGCAUUGCCAAAGCAGGUACACGAUGACUUCUUUCAAGACGGAGACUGCUGCAAAGCAUGCUCAGAGUGUGAACAUCUGCCAGCCUCUCUGAAGCAACGAGCUGAGUUGUAGACAGCAAGCUCAGCAUCUCAUCUCAACUUCUCACCACAGACAUCCCCAAGGCAUUAACACGUUUGCAUAUUCACUCAGUAAGGGGCAGUUAGAGUUUAACUUUGGAGACACUGGACAAACUUUGAGAAUUCUCACCUUGCUAUCAUCAGCUAAUCUUUCCUCUCUCUAAGUUAGCGUGUCGUGCUGCAGGAGGGAUUAGAUUUCUACUCACUGUAGAAAUCACACUAUGAGUAAUUUCCCUUGAAAAACAUAAGACAAUGAUGUAAAUGUUAUAAAAUGUUUCACAGUCACCCUGCCAAACUUCUUUGGGAUCUUCCAGCUCCGCUUUAAUAUACAAAGGUCUUGAGCUGUGCAGAAAAACAGCACGUGGGGUAUCCACGUGCCUUCACCAUUCCCCAUUUAAUAACUUCCACCAUUAAGCAAUGUUAUCCCAAGUCUUCUGAAACUAUAUUCGUUUUUUUGGCUUUUCAAAAUUUUCCCAGCUGUGAAAAUUCUGUAAAAUUACUAUCGUCACCCCCUUCUAGCUUUGGUUUCUUAUUUACAUUGCAUCUAUUCACUGGAAGAGACCUUUAAAACAGAGCCAAGGGGUGAAAAGUAGAGGCAUCCUAGUGGAAGGUAUAUCUGUCCAGUUGAGAUUCAGUAAAUAUGUGGGACUGUCUUCUCAUGAGUUGUGUCUCUGCCCCAACAGCAAAUCAUAUGUAAAUGGAUUCAGGCUCCCAUGUGCACAAGCUUAGAGAAGUUGAAAUGUCUCAACUGUAGUACAGGAUAAGGUGCAGUCACAUGAAUUUCAGCUGCUUAUUAGUAUUAGAAAAUUUGAUUAGUAAUUAAUAGGUAAUAAG